rnacentral:lncRNA from 1 species
UGCUUGGUUUUGGGUUCAUACCGUGCGGUGACCUUUCCCAGUGACAGAAGGGGCAGCAAGGCACGCAUCGUGUUGUUUCCAUCAAGGGUAACAAGAUGGGCUUUCAUCAUAGAUUUGAGAUUGUCCAUCUACAUCAUGUCAUCUUGCUUAAGGCGUUACUCUGUUCUUAUGAACUCAAUACACUAGAUGCAUGCUGGGUAGCGGUCGACGUGUGGAGUAAUAGUAGUAGAUGCAGAAAGUAUCGAUCUACUUGUUU